GACGAACGCUGGCGGCGUGCUUAACACAUGCAAGUCGAACGGAAAGGCCCUGCUUUUGUGGGGUGCUCGAGUGGCGAACGGGUGAGUAACACGUGAGUAACCUGCCCUUGACUUUGGGAUAACUUCAGGAAACUGGGGCUAAUACCGGAUAGGAGCUCCUGCUGCAUGGUGGGGGUUGGAAAGUUUCGGCGGUUGGGGAUGGACUCGCGGCUUAUCAGCUUGUUGGUGGGGUAGUGGCUUACCAAGGCUUUGACGGGUAGCCGGCCUGAGAGGGUGACCGGCCACAAUGGGACUGAGAUACGGCCCAGACGCCUACAGGAGGCAGCAGGGGGGAAUAUUGCACAAUGGGCGGAAGCCUGAUGCAGCAACGCCGCGUGCGGGAUGACGGCCUUCGGGUUGUAAACCGCUUUCGCCUGUGACGAAGCGUGAGUGACGGUAAUGGGUAAAGAAGCACCGGCUAACUACGUG
rnacentral:rRNA from 1 species